rnacentral:rRNA from 1 species
UUAUAUAAGUUAUCGUUUAUUUGAUAGUACCUUACUACUUGGAUAACCGUGGUAAUUCUAGAGCUAAUACAUGCUAAAAAUCCCGACUUUGGAAGGGAUGUAUUUAUUAGAUUAAAAACCAAUGCCCUUCGGGGCUCUCUGGUGAUUCAUGAUAACUUCUCGAAUCGCAUGGCCUUGCGCCGGCGAUGGUUCAUUCAAAUUUCUUCCCUAUCAACUUUCGAUGUUUGGGUAUUGGCCAAACAUGGUUGCAACGGGUAACGGAGGGUUAGGGCUCGACCCCGGAGAAGGAGCCUGAGAAACGGCUACUACAUCCAAGGAAGGCAGCAGGCGCGCAAAUUACCCAAUCCCGACACGGGGAGGUAGUGACAAUAAAUACUGAUACAGGGCUCUUUUGGGUCUUGUAAUUGGAAUGAGUACAAUUUAAACCCCUUAACGAGGAACAAUUGGAGGGCAAGUCUGGUGCCAGCAGCCGCGGUAAUUCCAGCUCCAAUAGCGUAUAUUAAAGUUGUUGUGGUUAAAAAGCUCGUAGUUGAACCUUGGGCCUGGCUGGCCGGUCCGCCUCACCGCGUGUACUGGUCCGGCCGGGCCUUUCCCUCUGUGGAACCCCAUGCCCUUCACUGGGUGUGGCGGGGAAACAGGACUUUUACUUUGAAAAAAUUAGAGUGCUCCAGGCAGGCCUAUGCUCGAAUACAUUAGCAUGGAAUAAUAGAAUAGGACGUGUGGUUCUAUUUUGUUGGUUUCUAGGACCGCCGUAAUGAUUAAUAGGGACAGUCGGGGGCAUCAGUAUUCAAUUGUCAGAGGUGAAAUUCUUGGAUUUAUUGAAGACUAACUACUGCGAAAGCAUUUGCCAAGGAUGUUUUCAUUAAUCAGGAACGAAAGUUAGGGGAUCGAAGACGAUCAGAUACCGUCGUAGUCUUAACCAUAAACUA